GGAAGAGCUCAGCACGCAGGGGUGGCGCACUACCCGCGUCUACCCGGUUCCGUGUACUGGAAAUUUUGUC
rnacentral:pre_miRNA from 1 species